CUUUGUCAGUUCGUUCGUCAUCUUUCACCCGUCGUUGUUUUUUGUUGUCAUGGUUCUUGUGUCUUCUUCAUGUUCCCAGUGUCUUCGUGUUCCUAGUGUUUUCUAUGUUUUUUCAGUUUUUUGUGAUUGUAUUUAUUAAAUCAAAUUUUCACUCCAAUAUUGAUUCAAGUUUUGAAUCCUGGAUUAGAACCUUCAUGAUGCAACUUUACCUGACCUUGUCAGGUGCCAUUGUUGUGGAACGGAGCGCUCUGCCAGCUGUGAUCGAGGUCCCCUGCUCUCAAUGAACAGCUGCUUCUAAACAUGCAACUUCAGAGAAUCAAGCACAUGCUGUUAAUUAACGUUUUUCUUUCCGAUAUUCAUUUUUUUGUUUAAAAGCAGGACUCAAUUUUGUAAUGCUGUUACUCGAGAGCUGGAGCUUGAGUGCAGGAAAUCUGUCCAAGCAACAAAACACCUGAGUGCAGCCACAGAGCCUGAGCACAAGCAGAGCAAAUCAACCAGAAUUUGAAAUCAAUGUUUGCCGCUUGCAAACUGAAAAACGACUCUCUUGAAUAAAGAUCGUUAAAACAAAACAUA